rnacentral:rRNA from 1 species
UCCCAGUUCGGAUUGUAGUCUGCAACCCGACUACAUGAAGCUGGAAUCGCUAGUAAUCGCGGAUCAGAAUGCCGCGGUGAAUACGUUCCCGGGUCUUGUACACACCGCCCGUCACACCAUGGGAGUCGGAAAUGCCCGAAGUCUGUGACCCAACCUACGGGAGGGAGCAGCCGAAGGCAGGUCGGAUGACUGGGGUGAAGUCGUAACAAGGUAUC